ACCAUGUUGUCCAAGCUGGUCUCGAACUCCAGACCUCAGAAAGGUGUGCACUUCUAAACAAAAUGGAGGCUCAUGAGCAAAACAUGCGGAGCUGCCCUGGCAAUGAAGUGAAGAGACUUGUAACUUGGUGCCUGAGCCUGUGCUAAAUGAGGGAGGGAACGGAAGGAGUUCAUUUGGAAUCAGAAGACUAAGUGAUAUGUUGUCGGAGGGACUUUGGAAUCCAGUUUAAUGGAAAAAGGAGGCCCCUGAGUCUUCAGCGUCACAAACAAUGACUGUUCCUGGACUUGUGUGACCACACAUCCCAGGCACUUAAAAUUGGGAAAUUUGGGGGAAGCAAGAUGGCCAAAUAGAACAAUCCAGCAAUUCUUCCCAUGCAGUAAUACCAAAUUUAACAACUAUCCCCACAAGAAAGCAUCUUCAUAAGAUACAAAAAUCAGGAUCACCAGGCUUCAGUGAAAUUCAACAUUGUCAAUGGAUACCCAGCAGACCAGGAAAAGUGAUCCAGUAUGGUCAACUCUAAGACUUAUAUUUGCCUUUAAAAGGUAAAGGCAAAGAAGGAGGUGAUGGAGGAGGAGAAAGAGAA
rnacentral:lncRNA from 1 species